ACGAGAGAAUAUUUAUUAGAAAUGAUGUUUAAAUAAUAUUGACGUAUUAGACAUGCAAAACGAUUUCGAAUACGAGCAAGAUUGCAUGGCGCUGCUACUUUCGCCGGUGGCGUAUUAUUUGCAUAGAUGCGUUUAUAUGGAACGCGGAGAUACACAGAGAGGUGAGAGAGUGGGAUACGGCAUAGAACAUAUCCGCGACUUCAUUCCUCACGACGGCGCGAAUCGAUAAACGGCGACCAUCACGCAACACACAAACCCAUCCUCGCCAACCACCCCGACCUCGACGACCGGCUGCACCAUUCCCCGGAUCGUACGGCAUCUCUACACAUCUUGUUACCAUUAAAGUAGACAGAGCUUUCGAUCCACUCGGUACACUCGACAAUUACAUAACCUAUAAAUUUUCCCUUCUUCGAAUAUAUUUUUAUCAAACGGAAGGAUAAACUCAAAAAUUUGAGAGGUCAAGUAUACGAAACGAGAAAAACGUGACAGAUUUACUAAAGAACAAUCCAUUCGAAGCAAGUAUUCGAGUACCUAGAAAUGAGGUUAUUCUAGAUGAUAAUAUAUAAUGUAUACGCUUGUAUAUUAGAAACAGAAUAGAUAAAAUUAAUAAAAACA
rnacentral:lncRNA from 1 species